rnacentral:rRNA from 1 species
UACAGAGGGUGCAAGCGUUAAUCGGAGUUACUGGGCGUAAAGGGCGCGUAGGCGGUUGAAUAAGUGAGAUGUGAAAUCCCUGGGCUUAACCUAGGAACUGCAUUUUAUACUGUUUAACUAGAGUAUUGUAGAGGGUAGUGGAAUUUCCGGUGUAGCGGUGAAAUGCGUAGAGAUCGGAAGGAACACCAGUGGCGAAGGCGGCUACCUGGACAAAUACUGACGCUGAGGCGCGAGAGCGUGGGGAGCAAACAGG